AGUUAAUCGGCACGGGCGUAGGAGAUCUCUCCACGCCCGUGCUCGUAUGUUAAGGGGCUGAAAAAAA
rnacentral:sRNA from 1 species